rnacentral:rRNA from 1 species
UACGUAGGGCGCAAGCGUUAUCCGGAAUUAUUGGGCGUAAAGAGCUCGUAGGCGGUUUGUCGCGUCUAUCGUGAAAGUCCGAGGCUCAACCUCGGAUCUGCGGUGGGUACGGGCAGACUAGAGUGAUGUAGGGGAGACUGGAAUUCCUGGUGUAGCGGUGAAAUGCGCAGAUAUCAGGAGGAACACCGAUGGCGAAGGCAGGUCUCUGGGCAUUAACUGACGCUGAGGAGCGAAAGCAUGGGGAGCGAACAGG